GUAAAUAAUUAAAAAAAAAACAAACCCAUGCCUAAGCCACAGUCACCUUGGCGCCCCCGCCCCACGUGCUCGCCCACCUGCCCCAAGGCGGUGGGAAAGCUCUGGCUGGGCUCCGCCUCCCUCGGGGAGCCGCUUACCGUCCCCGCCCCCCAGCAGCCGUGAGGCAGCACCUGAGGCGAUGGUUGGGCCUGACGCAUGCGCACGCCGCUCUCGCGGGCCUCCCGCGCUGGGGCUAGGCUGAGGGGCUCCGGUCAGCCCCCGCUGUGUGGACGCGAAGAGGGCUUGGCCGAGUCCAGCCGUGUGAUCAGGCGUGUAGAUUAAAGAGAGCUCACGUCUUGGCUGGGCAAGAACAGUCUCUUGUCCUGUGCUGGGUGUUUUCAUUUGCCAUCUCAGAACAGCUCGGUGUUCACCCGUGGGGAGACUUGAGGCACCGAAAUGUUAAAUGACUUCCUGGCCCAGGGUCCUGCAGAGGAGACGUGAAAGCCCUUGGAUUUGAACUAGGGUCUUUCUCACGCCAAAAAAUCCCAUGCAUUCCCACUAAAGUGACAUCUGUAUUUGGCCCGUGGCCCGCUUUGACUUCCAGAUCCUUUUCUCCUCCACAUCCACGCAAGACCAGGCUUAUCCCACCUGGCAACACUGCGGUGUUCAAGUGCAGGGGCCCAGGGAUCAGUCCAUCUGGGCUUUAAUCCUGGGCCUGCUACUCUUCUGGCACCAGGCACUCCAGCCUCAGUUGAAGUGAAGUCACUCAGUCGUGUCCGACUCUUUGCGACCAGGCUCCUUAGUCCACGGAAUUUUCCAGGCAAGAGUACUGGAGUGGGUUGCCAUUUCCUCCCAGGGGAUCUUCCCAACCCAGGGGUCAAACCGGGGUCUCCCACACUGCAGGCAGACGCUUUACCGUCUGAGCCACCAGGGAAGCCUCAGUUUCCUCAUCUGUGAAACAGGGAUAAUGACCAUAGUAUCUACCUCCAAAGGUCACAUGAAGAGUAAAUCAGUUAACAUUUUCAUAUGUAAAACUCUAUUAAGAGUCUGAUGCAAAAUAAAAAAGCUCAACAGACAUGGGCUUUUAAUCACUGAUGUAGUUGCUCUUGGCCUUGGCUGCGAAUCAACCUGGGAGCUUUAGAAAAAUGCCAAAGUGUGGGUCCCACCCCAGAGAUUCUGAUUUAAUUGGUCUCAGGUGGAGGCCAAGUGC
ensembl:lncRNA